rnacentral:rRNA from 1 species
CAAGUCUUAUCGGUGGGAUCACUUCGGUUUCGUAAGUUUCGAUGAAAAACGGGGGCAAAAACCGUUAUUUUGGCCGUGAAUUGCAAGACAUAUUGAACCGCUAAAAUUUUUGAAACGCAAAUGGCACUAUCAGGGUUUUAUAUCUUGAUAGUAUGUUUGGGUUUGAGGGUCGAU